rnacentral:rRNA from 1 species
UCCAGACUCCUACGGGAGGCAGCAGUGGGGAAUAUUGCACAAUGGGGGAAACCCUGAUGCAGCGACGCCGCGUGAGUGAAGAAGUAUUUCGGUAUGUAAAGCUCUCUCAGCAGGGAAGAAAAUGACGGUACCUGACUAAGAAGCCCCGGCUAACUACGUGCCAGCAGCCGCGGUAAUACGUAGGGGGCAAGCGUUAUCCGGAUUUACUGGGGGUAAAGGGAGCGUAGACGGCGAUGCAAGUCUGAAGUGAAAGGCGGGGGCCCAACCCCCGGACUGCUUUGGAAACUGUAUGGGUGGAGUGCAGGAGAGGUAAGUGGAAUUCCUAGUGUAGCGGUGAAAUGCGUAGAUAUUAGGAGGAACACCA